CCUACGGGUGGCAGCAGUGAGGAAUAUUGGUCAAUGGGCGCGAGCCUGAACCAGCCAAGCAGCGUGAAGGAUGACUGCCCUACGGGUUGUAAACUUCUUUUAUAAAGGAAUAAAGUGAGGUACGUGUGUCUUUCUGUAUGUAUCUUACGAAUAAGGAUCGGCUAACUCCGUGCCAGCAGCCGCGGUAAUACGGAGGAUUCGAGCGUUAUCCGGAUUUAUUGGGUUUAAAGGGAGCGUAGGUGGGUUGAUAAGUUAGUGGUGAAAAUUUGCGGCUCAACCGUAGAAUUGCAGUUGAUACUGGCCGUCUUGAGUGCAGUUGAGGUAGGCGGAAUGCGUGGUGUAGCGGUGAAAUGCUUAGAGAUCACGAAGAACUCCGAUUGCGAAGGCAGCUUACUAAGCUGCCACUGACGUUGAUGCUCGAAAGUGUGGGUAUCAAACAGGAUUAGAUACCCGUGUAGUC
rnacentral:rRNA from 1 species